rnacentral:tRNA from 2 species
GGGGGCGUAGCUCAGUUGGUUAGAGCGCUGGCCUGUCACGCCAGAGGCCGCGGGUUCGAGUCCCGUCGCUCCCG